rnacentral:rRNA from 1 species
AACGUACGCUGGCGGCACGCCUAACACAUGCAAGUCGAACGCAGUAGCAAUACUGAGUGGCAGACGGGUGAGUAACAUGUGGAAUCUGCCUUGUGGUUCAGGACAACAUUGGGAAACCGAUGCUGAUACUGGAUAAGCCCUUACGGGGAAAGUUUUAAUGCCAUAAGAUGAGCCCGCAUUUGAUUAGUUAGUUGGUGAGGUAAUGGCUCACCAAGACAAUGAUCAAUAGCUGAUCUGAGAGGAUGAUCAGCCACACUGGGACUGAGACACGGCCCAGACUCCUACGGGAGGCAGCAGUGGGGAAUCUUGCACAAUGGAGGAAACUCUGAUGCAGCGAUGCCGCGUGAGUGGAGAAGGCCUUUGGGUUGUAAAGCUCUUUUGUAGGGGAAGAUAAUGACUGUACCCUAAGAAUAAGGUCCGGCUAACUUCGUGCCAGCAGCCGCCGUAA